AUUGAACGCUGGCGGCAGGCUUAACACAUGCAAGUCGAACGAGUGGCGGACGGGUGAGUAAUGCUUGGGAAUCUGGCUUAUGGAGGGGGAUAACUGCGGGAACCUGUAGAUAAUACCGCGUACCAUAGGAUUGGACCAAGUGGGAUGAGGUAGUUGGGGAGGUAAAGGCUCACCAAGCCGACGAUCUCUAGCUGGUCUGAGAGGAUGACCAGCCACCCUGGGCCUUAGACACGGCCCAGACUCCGCCGGGAGGCAGCAGUGGGGAAUAUGGCGCAAUGGGGGCAACCUGACGCAGCCAUGCCGCGUGAAUGAAGAAGGCCUUCGGGUUGUAAAGUUCUUUCGGUAGCGAGGCGUUAACUACAGAAGAAGCACCGGCUAACUCCGUGCCAGCAGCCGCGGUAAUUC
rnacentral:rRNA from 1 species